UUGGAACACCUGUUCCUGUACGAUCAUCGAAGUUAAGCAACAUCGAGCCUGGUCAGUACCGAGAUGGGUGACCGCUUAGGAAUACCAAGUACUGUAA